rnacentral:rRNA from 1 species
AUGAACGCUAGCUACAGGCUUAACACAUGCAAGUCGAGGGGCAGCAUGGUCUUAGCUUGCUAAGGCCGAUGGCGACCGGCGCACGGGUGAGUAACACGUAUCCAACCUGCCGUCUACUCUUGGACAGCCUUCUGAAAGGAAGAUUAAUACAAGAUGGCAUCAUGAGUCCGCAUGUUCACAUGAUUAAAGGUAUUCCGGUAGACGAUGGGGAUGCGUUCCAUUAGAUAGUAGGCGGGGUAACGGCCCACCUAGUCUUCGAUGGGUAGGGGUUCUGAGAGGAAGGUCCCCCACAUUGGAACUGAGACACGGUCCAAACUCCUACGGGAGGCAGCAGUGAGGAAUAUUGGUCAAUGGGCGAGAGCCUGAACCAGCCAAGUAGCGUGAAGGAUGACUGCCCUAUGGGUUGUAAACUUCUUUUAUAAAGGAAUAAAGUCGGGUAUGGAUACCCGUUUGCAUGUACUUUAUGAAUAAGGAUCGGCUAACUCCGUGCCAGCAGCCGCGGUAAUACGGAGGAUCCGAGCGUUAUCCGGAUUUAUUGGGUUUAAAGGGAGCGUAGAUGGAUGUUUAAGUCAGUUGUGAAAGUUUGCGGCUCAACCGUAAAAUUGCAGUUGAUACUGGAUAUCUUGAGUGCAGUUGAGGCAGGCGGAAUUCGUGGUGUAGCGGUGAAAUGCUUAGAUAUCACGAAGAACUCCGAUUGCGAAGGCAGCCUGCUAAGCUGCAACUGACAUUGAGGCUCGAAAGUGUGGGUAUCAAACAGGAUUAGAUACCCUGGUAGUCCACACGGUAAACGAUGAAUACUCGCUGUUUGCGAUAUACAGCAAGCGGCCAAGCGAAAGCGUUAAGUAUUCCACCUGGGGAGUACGCCGGCAACGGUGAAACUCAAAGGAAUUGACGGGGGCCCGCACAAGCGGAGGAGCAUGUGGUUUAAUUCGAUGAUACGCGAGGAACCUUACCCGGGCUUAAAUUGCAGAUGAAUUACGGUGAAAGCCGUAAGCCGCAAGGCAUCUGUGAAGGUGCUGCAUGGUUGUCGUCAGCUCGUGCCGUGAGGUGUCGGCUUAAGUGCCAUAACGAGCGCAACCCUUGUUGUCAGUUACUAACAGGUUCUGCUGAGGACUCUGACAAGACUGCCAUCGUAAGAUGUGAGGAAGGUGGGGAUGACGUCAAAUCAGCACGGCCCUUACGUCCGGGGCUACACACGUGUUACAAUGGGGGGUACAGAGGGCCGCUACCACGCGAGUGGAUGCCAAUCCCCAAAACCUCUCUCAGUUCGGACUGGAGUCUGCAACCCGACUCCACGAAGCUGGAUUCGCUAGUAAUCGCGCAUCAGCCACGGCGCGGUGAAUACGUUCCCGGGCCUUGUACACACCGCCCGUCAAGCCAUGGGAGCCGGGGGUACCUGAAGUGCGUAACCGCGAGGAGCGCCCUAGGGUAAAACUGGUGACUGGGGCU